rnacentral:rRNA from 1 species
GAUGAACGCUAGCUACAGGCUUAACACAUGCAAGUCGAGGGGAAACGACAUCGAAAGCUUGCUUUUGAUGGGCGUCGACCGGCUCACGGGUGAGUAACGCGUAUCCAACCUGCCCAUCACUUGGGAAUAACCUUGCGAAAGUAAGACUAAUACCCAAUGAUAUCCCACGAAGGCAUCGGAAUGGGAUUAAAGAUUUAUCGGUGAUGGAUGGGGAUGCGUCUGAUUAGCUUGUUGGCGGGGUAACGGCCCACCAAGGCAACGAUCAGUAGGGGUUCUGAGAGGAAGGUCCCCCACAUUGGAACUGAGACACGGUCCAAACUCCUACGGGAGGCAGCAGUGAGGAAUAUUGGUCAAUGGGCGAGAGCCUGAACCAGCCAAGUAGCGUGCAGGAAGACGGCCCUAUGGGUUGUAAACUGCUUUUAUAAGGGAAUAAAGUGGGUCACGUGUGACUUUUUGCAUGUACCUUAUGAAUAAGGACCGGCUAAUUCCGUG